AUUUCUAGGAAAAGCAUUAAAAAAAGAAAGCGGUAUGGCUCAAAGCGCGGAGGUUUAAAUGUUUAAAGCGAGCCUUCUGGUAUAGAGCGCGGCGAUUUUCCUGCCGUUUCCCGGGUAACUUUUGCGUCAGCCUUUAUCGCCGGAAAAAAACUCGUUAGCUUGGCGCGGCCUAGCUGGCCUGCUUCCAGAACAAACCGCCAGAGGUCCGGCGUUACGUGCGAACCGAGGCCGUGCCGAUGAAUUUGGUGACGUAAGAGAAUAAAACCACCAUAAAGGCUUGCUGGUUCAUUAGCGCAAACCGCGGAGCAUGGCAUCCUUGUAGAGAGAGCGAGGUUAUAAUCCAUAGUCUGAUCUCGGUGUAUCCACAGAGUAAAUUACUUUUCAAAACGCGUUUGGUUUUUGAAUUAUCGACAUGUAGUCCUCCGAUUGUUCAGUGCUGCAGCGAAACGCAGCAAUAAGGAGAGAUAAUAUACAUACUUGACUUCCACUCGAAGAGGUCGGGUAGAUAAGAGAAGAGUGAACCUGCGAAAUUGACUUUCGUAAUUACCGACCGAGAAUGCGCCAGUAUCCAAGAAGUCAUCUCGAAAAUCCAAUUAGUGGAGAACUGCUUAACGGAGCACCAGUCACUUAAAUCGUACUUUACCAAUUUCCUUUCUUAUUAGAGGAUCAAAUGGCAAAUGAAUGAAAUAAGCGUAGUGUGUGCAGUAUAAACACAAAAUUCAGCAAUUAUAUACAUCUUGCCUUGUGCAUGUUGCAAUUUGCAAAGAAUGAGGUACUGCUUCUGCCUGCAAUUAUAUUUCUGUUAAAGAAACUACGAGUUUAAAAGAUCUUAAAUACUUCUAUAUUGUACUACAAGAAUUAAGCCAAAUUAACUUCUAAAAAAGUCUUGAACAUCAAGUCUCAAUUUCCAAUCUCAACUGAAUAGAAAUUACCACGAAAAAGUAUUCUAUAAGCUGUGGCAAGCAGUACAAUUUUCGGCCUCGAAAGAAAGUGCGCCACUGUUAUGCAAUUAAGAUUUUAAUAGAACCUUCAUGUCCGUGAAUCUCCGUGCGCGUUUCCUUUGUUGCGCUUAACUCUGUUUGCUCAACCCCCUUUUCACGGUGAACUCUUUCAGUGGCCGCACCGAACACCGCAUCCCUCAAGGGGUUAAUUUCAUUUCGACUGUCUGGGCAACAUACGAGCCGAAGGUGUGCAUCACGAAAGAACCUGCCACUGCACCAGCAUGUAUUGUCGUCGUCAACGUCGAAAGAGUUCAGUGUCAAACGUCAGCGAUUUGUUUUCAUGAUGCACGAACGCUAUGGUUGCACAACAACGAUUUAUCGCUGACGAAUGUUAUUGGCGACUCGUGAUCAGCGUGUACGCAAUAUCUUCACGGACGAACCAUCGUAAUGCCGAGCGAGCCGAUUUUAAAAAUCAAUUCAUCUCCACGCGCCUGCGGGUAACGGUCGAUGUCCAGCUUUUAAUACGUCGUUAAGAUUGAGUGCUCGGAUUGCAAUUGAACUGUCGCGUUUUGAACGCCGACAAACUAAAAAAGUAUCGAGAAAAAUCUAUACAUAGAAUGUUUAGUAGUUCUUUGCGCUAAUUAUUUGAAUCCUCCUUAAUAGUUAAUGGCGUGUUGCUUGAAAUAAGUAGAAAGUUAGUGAAUAUUAAAGUAGUCCUUGGAAUGUGCAUUUUUUGGCCAUUAAGCAAUGUUUAAUGACCAAAAUUUUGUUUGAUUGUGGGGAAACGAGCGUAGUGAUUGCUUAAAAAUUUAAUAGUUUAAUAAUAACAAACUAACAUUUAAACAAUACACCUCAAAGUUGAGGUCUUCUGAAGAGUUAAAUUAAUACCGUAUACAAUAUUCACGCACAAAAAAAUAGUUUACUUUUGAAGUGACAAUCUAAAUACCGGGAGAUAUAAUAAUUUAAAAUACAAAGCUUAAAUUAUGGACUAUUAAAAAUAGUCUGCAAUGAUAGCGAACUUGUCGAUAAGACAAUUAUUUUUCUCGAAAGAACUUAAAAAUAUACGUACUCACGAAUAUUAAUUAUCGCUAAAAUUGGUUAAAGUUAUCAACUAGCAGCGGUAAAUUAUUUCUAUGGCUAAAACGGAUAUUAUUAAAGAUUUUUGGAAUAUACGCUGCGGAAUAGUAACUGGCCAAUCGAGAAAGCGUUAUCUUAUCAUCAGCCAACAGCCCAACUUCUCCAUCCAAAUGCGUGCUCUAGUAUACAAGAGAUAACAUUUCGCCUCGUGGCCAAUGAGAUUCUAUUUGAGAUCCUGCUCGCUCGGUGUGGAGAAAUCAGAAUCCGGAAUACGAGACAUGCAACUCGAUCUUGCGCUCAUCUCGAUUUCAGUCUCCCUUCCGAUCAAACACCGCUUCUUAGCAAUCUUGUAAUCUCGCCGAACAAGUCCUCUAGACUCGUUGAUCUAGACAUCGUAUACGCCGCGUUUGGCUCUAUAUUUUUACAUUACGUAUGAUUAAUUAUUAAUCGAUAACUUGUAAUUCUAGUUAAGACUCUCUUGAGACUUGGUAUCACGUUACAUUCAUCUAUAAAUCGCAUUACGUUUGCAAUACGUAUUUGAAUUUAAGAACGUUGGUAUUCACUAUUAUCACUGUUUUGGAUUAUAAAAACAUUUUCAAGUAGAUUAAACUAUGGAAAUCGUACUCUUUGUGAUAUUAUGUAUGCGUAACUUUUAUUUUGCAUAUUUAUGAGUAGUAGAGUUAAUAGAAAAUAUUGUAAUCAAUCGCAACUUUUGUUCUCACAAGCGAACAAAAAUUAAAGUAUAGAGAAUUUAUGCUUUCGAUUUGAAAUGACGAACAAACGUUUUCAAAUGAAACGAAGGAAAGUGUUUGUGUUCAUCGCUGUGUUACAGAAGAUUUGUAAAAUCUCACAUCCUAACUAUGUAAACGAAGAAGAAGCGAUAGCUUGCUUUAAAGAUUUUAAAAAAUCUUUGCAAAUAUUGAACUUCGUUCAAAAAUUUCUCUUCGUUCAAAACUAUCGCGAUGAAAUCAAAUUUUUGAAGAAAGAAAAUACAUACCGAGGUCUCGAUGCCGCUAUCGUGGCACACUGUUUGCCAUGAAUUAUGCUGAGAUUUCAUAAGUGCUUCUGACCUUUACUGCGAAGAAUUUUCUUGGAACGAUGACGACGAUGAUAUCGCAGGCGAGAGUUAAUAAUCGAUGUUCUACGUUCGAAAAAUGUUUAACAGAAUUAAGUAACGAUUACGUGGACAUUCAAGCGAAGGAUAAAUCUCACGAUUAGAUAAUAAUAGUAAUAGUUGCGGUUUAAACAGUCAUGAUUACAGUGCAGUACUAUACUUUAAACGCUCUUUUAUUCCUUGUAUUAUUUUCUUUCUUCGUAUAAUUUUUUAAUUCAAAUUCUACUUGUUAAAUUAUUUCUAUUAACAACUAAAAGGUAUUUAAUUUUUAAUUCCUGGGAUUUAGAGAGAGAAUGUCAUUUUUUGCUAUUUUUAAAAAAUGUUACGAGUACUUUUAAGUUGUUUUAUCUUUUUCUUUGCUUUUUUAGCGCGCUAUUGAAUUCUUGCCUAUUCAUGAAGGGAUUCCCGGAGUUUCAUCUCGUGAAAAUGCAUGGAGUCCGACAAUUAACAUCGCAUCCAUUCACGUAAGCUCGGUGGCAUUACGGAAAGGAAAAAAAUAAGCGUUCAUUCAUGAAAACUCUUAUCUGCGUAUAUAUAGCCAUAGAUUACCAACCCCGUUUCAUUCACACGUUCGCGGAACAGGUUGAAUUUAUCGCUGACAUCUUUCCAUUGAAAAAAGGACCAUAUCAAUUUUACAAACCCCACUAUUUUAUAUUUCAUCUUCUUCAAAUUUUUGUCCAAGAUACCAAGGACUCCAAUUUUAUUAGCACGAAUUGCUGUGAAUUAACAAAAAUCAACGCAUUCGCUUCAAUCUCUCUAAAAUAACAAGAAGAAAACCAUAGGAACUAAACUGAAGAAAACUACCAUGUUACAACACCUUUAAUUGACUAAAAAACGACGGCAGUAAGGAAACCAUAAAAACCAAACAGAAGGUAUAACAUCGUCAUUUCUUCAACAUCAUAACAAAUCCAUUCGAAUUCAUUUCACCAGUUAAUCCACAAACAUUUCUUUUAUCCACAAAUCUCAUGUACGGAAGAAACGGUAUCGAAAGAAACUAAGCAGGAGCAUCGUCGAAUCGACUCACGUGCACUGGAAUACAAGCGAGCUUCGAGUCACAGUGCAGGAUAUAUGACGCAAAUCGAAUGCACGCGGUUCUGUUUACGUACGAGAUAAGAGUUUGUCCUGGGUCAAGGCUGCACGCAGUUUGAUAAUCCAAUUCAGAUAACGGGAACGUGCAUAGAGUUUGCUGGACCUUGAGUACAUACAUACAUAUAUAUAUACAUAUAGCGACGGUCUACGCGAGAAAGAGAAACGUCCGAAGAGAAUACACACGAGGCAGCGCAAGGCAAGGCGAGUCUCGAUGACUCAUUUCGCGAGCAAUUUGUCAAAUCAUCUGCCCCUUCUCUCCCCCGAAAGACCCGCCCUCGUUCCCUCUCCUUCAAACGGAAAGACUCACGUUUAUCGUGAAUAGUACGCCUAACGUGCGCACGUGACAUUUCGAGUAUCUCGAAUUAAACUGUAAACAUCGUAGUACAACCGACGGUUGAAGACCAGCCACGCGGACAGUGUCAAUGAUCCUACUAUUUAUUGGAUCGUUGCUUACGCACGGCGUCACAUGUCUGUGGAUAUGUACGUGUACACGUCCGGCUGUACGUGUGCGGGCAUCUCUCCUUCCUCGUCUCGCUUUUGUCAGUCGUGACCUCGAAGGUUAUUUCGUCUGUCUACCUCUUUAUCUUCUGAAUCUCCUUGCGAGACCCGAUUUUCGAAAUCUUUCAUUCAGAUGUUCUGCGGUGAAUGACACGGCAUGAACAGGAAUUUGGCUUUGAUUCUCGAUUGAUAUGAUACUUAUGUAUGAUAGGAGCCUGAAAAUUUCUACCAGCUGUCUGUGGAUUAUGAUGUAUGGUUGUUAUAUCGUAUCGUUAUUACAGGUUGGUACAGAUUCAAACAGAUUGGUUUUGGAAUGUACGUGCACUCAAAUACUCACACUUAAAUACUCUUCUCUUCUCCUUCAAUGGAAUACCAUGAAGUAUACGUUUCUCAAAUCUCUUCAGCCUCUAUCUUUCAAAAACUCGAAGAACACUUAGGAACAAUGAAACGUGAACGAAGUCAUCUCUUCUCCUCGUGAAUCCUCCAGAUAUCCUCUCUGAGACUGAAAGUCUCGAUGACCAUGAUAUAAAUUGCGCGAACAGCCUCUGGUGACUUUGCAACUGCCGUUAGAUUCCAUGCAGCGACUGUACGAGUUUCGUUCCCUGUGACUACUCUCCACGUCUCCAUCUCGACCGAUUCUCCGUCACGAUUCAUAGGGGUAUAGGUAAACGACAUCCGCGUCCGAGUGGGCACGUGCGUGUGCCUCUGCGUUCGCGUGUCCCGUAGUUUGUGUCGUUGACUGAGGGUGGUGGUGGUCGUGUGAUGGUAGUGGCGAAAAGGGGGAAAAGGGUGACGGAGGAGGGAGAGCAAGCACGUGUGAGGACGUAGUACGAUUUACUCGCAGAUCGGUGGAACGUCUUCCUCGUUCCCUCCCUCGCCCUCUUUCUCGUCGAUGAGCUGUCUUUCUUUCUCUUCCACCCCUUCCCCCUAUCGCGUACUUCUCUUCCUCAUUCUCCUCCUCUUCGUCGUUCCUCCUCCUCCACCUCUUCCUCCUCCUCCGCCUUCUCCUCCUUCACCACCUCUUCCUCCUACCACUGACAUUAUACUACUACUACGGGGUACUCCACUUUCAUUCAGUCGCUUCUAAAAAUAAAGUCCCUGAUUCACAAUGCAUGAAUGACAAUCACACUGAAAGGAAUACCGCACAGACUUGUAGCCUUUCUCACUCUCUUUCCCCUCUAUCUCACUCCCUCUAACCGUCCCAUGUCUUCUUUGUCUCUCUUGUCGAUCUCCUGCUCUUGCGAUUUUCCCUCUCCCUCCGUCUUUCUGUUGUAUAUGUCCUGUCUCGUUCUACCAUUCCCGAAGCACUCCCUCUCGCUCUCUUUUCGCUCCUAUCACUCUCGCCUCUCCUGUCUCGCUUCUUUUUCCAACCUGUUCUCUCGUUCCCUGGCGCCCACCCCCCUUUCUCCCUUCACACUCUCUCUCUCUCUCUCUCUCUCUUUCUCUCUGUGUCUAUGUAUGUAUAUAUAUGCCUGCCUCUGUAUGUAUAUGUGUCGUACUCUCUUGUAAGAGAGUGAAAUCUCGGUUCGCCUGUUGCAUCGAACUAUUGGUUGGUUCCGUGUAAAUAGAUCCCGUGGAAAUUCGAAGUAGCAUUGCCGCGUUGCGCCGGCCUGAUCGAUCGGAGGGAUCGAUCUCGCACCGGAGAACUUGUUGCACAUCGUGCCAGAUUUUACAAAUGUCACGGUCCGGUGUUUGAAUUGGCAUCAGAGAGUAUGUACGUCCGUUUGAAUAAACGUUAUCGUUUGCUUGUACUAUCCGAUGGUGAUCGAGUAAGUCGAGGAAUAGGAAGCAGUUGGAGAAUAGUUACUGAAACGUUUCUCUGCUCGUAGGUGUUCGGGCGAAGCGGUGGCUGCUUCUUUCGAGGAUAAAUGAGAAGUUUGAUAUUGCAGAGGAUGAAAAAUUGUUAGUAGAGUCCGCAAGACUGAUACGAUAACGAAGCGAGCUAUCUAAAGCAAGAUCGUAUCGCUGGCUGAUAAACGAAUUCUGCGAGGAAAACAAGUGUAGAUUCAACAAGAUAUCGUUGGCACUGCGUUAUGACAGUUUCAGGCGAUAAUUCUUAAUGUAUUAAGUCAAGAAAACGAGAAGGGUUCGUUUUAUGAAGAUGAACAACGAAGAUAGCAACCGGAAAUACCAGCUAUAAUUUGGGAAUGCACAAUUGUCCCGUAACGCUCUGAAGGUUCACGGAAAUAGGGGCGAGUAACCCUGAAUAUCUCGUGAAGUUCUCGGCUCGAAGCACCCAAGGAGAACUGGUUUCAACUCAUCAUAGUCACCUAGCUGUUCACGAUACGGCAUUCCAAAAUAAAAAACAGAAUAAUCAAAUGUCCCUGAAAACAGCAAAACACUGCCGAAUUCAAUAAUAUUGCUUGAAGCUGUUUCAAAGCCUAGAGGUAUUUCGAAAAUUCUUCAGUGAAGAAUUGACCGCGAGGAGAGUUAUAUUGUCUCGUACAUAUAAAAGACCUACUUUCAUCGCCCUUCUUGAAGUUACUCACGCGAAACAUUCUUGUUAGUAGAUAAUCCUAUAAUAAAUGCAGCCUACGGAAACUUCAAGACACUUCAAAUUCUUCUUGCGAAAGAAAUUGCAGCUACAUCCAACGGUGCUAUAAAAAUAUGGCAAACGUUUGCGAACGUUUAUCCACUUACGAUAUUCCAAACGACUACAUGAGAAGUUAAAUAUUUCUUGAAAAUCAAAAUGCUUCGUGGCAUCAGAAGUUGAAGAAAAAGUGACUCCAAUACUUGAAGAAAAAAGAAAAAUAAUUCAAAGUCGGAUAAUUCCAAGAUUAAAAUAUCCCUCUAGUU